UACAGAGGGUGCAAGCGUUGUUCGGAAUUAUUGGGCGUAAAGGGCGCGUAGGCGGUGCUGUAAGUCUGUAGUGAAAUCUCUGGGCUCAACUCAGAGUCUGCUAUAGAAACUGCAGUGCUGGAGUGUGGGAGAGGUGAGUGGAAUUCCCGGUGUAGCAGUGAAAUGCGUAGAUAUCGGGAGGAACACCAGUGGCGAAGGCGGCCUUCUGGACCAGUACUGACGCUCAUGCACGAAAGCGUGGGGAGCAAACAGG
rnacentral:rRNA from 1 species